GAUGAACGCUGGCGGCGUGCCUAAUACAUGCAAGUCGAGCGAACGGACGAGAAGCUUGUUUCUCUGAUGUUAGCGGCGCACGGGUGAGUAACACGUGGAUAACCCACCUAUAAGACUGGGAUAACUUCGGGAAACCGGAGCUUAUACCGGAUAAUAUUUUGAACCACAUGGUUCAAAAGUGAAAGACGGUCUUGCUGUCACUAAUAGAUGGUUCCGAGCUGCAUUAGCUAGUUGUUAAGGUAACGGCUUUCCAAGGCAACGAUGCCUAGCCGACCGGAUAGGGGGAUAGCCCGCCUUGGAGCUGUGACAGGGUCCAUGGUCCUGCGGGAGGCAGCAGUAGGGAAUGUUCCGCAAUGGUCGAGAGCCUGACGGAGCAGCGCCGCGUGAGUGAUGAAGGUCUUCGGAGCGUAAAGCUCUGUUAUUAGUGAAGAACAUAUUUGGAAGUAACUGUGCACAUCUUGACGGUACCUAAUCAGAAAGCCACGGCUAACUACGUG
rnacentral:rRNA from 1 species